CUUGUUUCUUGUAAAAGAAUAAAAAAUUAAAAAAAAAAAAAAAAAACGGUCAAAAGUAUUGACCCCGCCUCUUCAAGAAGACCCACCGAGUCACCGGUUCAGGCCGAGUUACACCGAUUCGUAGCGAGUCAAUAGCAUAACCGAUCCAAUAAGUGAACCGGACCGACUUACCCACCGGUCCGAUCCGAGUUUUAAAACUAUGCUCGGUAGCAAUAGUCAUGACAUAUAAAUUCAUUUAGUGUUUUUCUUAAGCACACUACCACAAAUGUGUAACUUGGAUCAUGUCCUUCCCCUUUAUCUUUUCAAAUUCAUCAUAUCAAUUUGAAUUAUAAACACCAUUCUUAUAACAUGUUAUCCAACAAAGUAAAAUUACUUUUUCUUCGAUGCAAUUUUAUUGUGGCAUCGAGCAAAUUAAGUUUGGAUCCAACUUGCUCAAAAAAUUAUUGAAAAAAAAUAGAAAUUUUUUAAACAACUUACUCGGUAGCAAUAGUCAUGACAAUGUUCUCAUGUAGAGCAUUCCAGAAAAACUCAAAAUAUGAUGUUUGUUUACCUUCAACAAAUGUUUAAAGAACCAAGCGUCGAUAGUCAGACAUACUUUUAGCUAAGCAUAAGUACACCUCUCAACAUUUCCUCACAUAUGAAAUUCUCUUCCAAAAAAAAAAAAAAAGAAUGCUGAAAUUCGAAGUGAAACAUAAUAGUUUCAGUCUAAAGCUUUGUAUAUAUAAUAAUAGAGUCGAAAAAUCAUGGCAUAGCUAGAAUAUUGUAACCAAUUAAUUAGAACUUUUAUAUCAUUGAUCCCACCUACAUCCAAGAUCAAUCAACAAAUCAAUUGUCGAAAACAAAAUUUAUUAACUUUUUACUUACAUUUUAUGCCUUUUCAUCUUGUUCUUACUUUAUGAUACAUACAUAGUUGGUAUAUUUUUUUAAUAAAGGGGUGAAGGCAGGCUCACAGACACAAAAGUGAGGUUUUAUAAAUAAUGAAGUUAUGAAUAAAAUAAAUAAUUAAUUAAAUUAUAAAACUGGUUUGUUACAAAGCCACGUACGUCAGUAUCGUUUUGAAGGGAAAAAACCUUCCUUUACAUAGCUCCGUCCUCUAUAUAUCUUUUCCAAUAUAUAUGUUAAAUAAACCAAGAUUUAAUCUCCAUACUAAAAUUAAAACCACAAUAAUUACUAAAUUAGUUCUUCGUUGUCUUCAAUCUUCAUACUUGUUAGGC
rnacentral:lncRNA from 1 species